UACGGGGGGGGCAAGCGUUGUUCGGAAUUACUGGGCGUAAAGGGCUCGUAGGCGGCCAACUAAGUCAGACGUGAAAUCCCCAGGCUCAACCUGGGAACUGCGUCUGAUACUGGAUGGCUUGAAUCCGGGAGAGGGAUGCAGAAUUCCAGGUGUAGCGGUGAAAUGCGUAGAUAUUCGGAAGAACACCAGUGGCGAAGGCGGCUCACUGGCCCGGUACUGACGCUGAGGUGCGAAAGCGUGGGGAGCAAACAGG
rnacentral:rRNA from 1 species